UACGAAGGGGGCUAGCGUUGCUCGGAAUCACUGGGCGUAAAGGGUGCGUAGGCGGGUCUUUAAGUCAGGGGUGAAAUCCUGGAGCUCAACUCCAGAACUGCCUUUGAUACUGAGGAUCUUGAGUACGGGAGAGGUGAGUGGAACUGCGAGUGUAGAGGUGAAAUUCGUAGAUAUUCGGAGGAACACCAGUGGCGAAGGCGGCUCACUGGCUCGAUACUGACGCUGAGGUGCGAAAGCGUGGGGAGCAAACAGG
rnacentral:rRNA from 1 species